UACAGAGGGUGCUAGCGUUGUUCGGAAUCAUUGGGCGUAAAGGGCGUGUAGGCGGUUUGUUAAGUCAUGUGUGAAAUCCCUCGGCUCAACCGGGGAACGACGCAUGAAACUGGCAAGCUAGAGUACCAAAGAGGGGGGUGGAAUUCCCGGUGUAGCGGUGAAAUGCGUAGAUAUCGUAAGGAAGACCAGUGGCGAAGGCGGGUCUCUGGACAGUUCCUGACGCUGAGGCACGAAGGUCAGGGGAGCAAACGGG
rnacentral:rRNA from 1 species